CCUACGGGAGGCAGCAGUGAGGAAUAUUGGUCAAUGGACGAGAGUCUGAACCAGCCAAGUAGCGUGAAGGAUGACUGCCCUAUGGGUUGUAAACUUCUUUUAUAUGGGAAUAAAACGUUCCACGUGUGGGAUUUUGUAUGUACCAUAUGAAUAAGGAUCGGCUAACUCCGUGCCAGCAGCCGCGGUAAUACGGAGGAUCCGAGGGUUAUCCGGGUUUAUUGGGUUUAAAGGGAGCGUAGGUGGAUUGGUAAGUCAGGUGUGAAAGUUUGCGGGUCAACCGUAAAAUUGCAGUUGAAACUGGCAGUCUUGAGUACAGUAGAGGUGGGCGGAAGUCGUGGUGUAGCGGUGAAAUGCUUAGAUAUCACGAAGAACUCCGAUUGCGAAGGCAGUUCACUGGACUGCAACUGACACUGAGGCUCGAAAGUGUGGGUAUCAAACAGGAUUAGAUACCCGGGUAGUC
rnacentral:rRNA from 1 species